rnacentral:misc_RNA from 1 species
GACGGAGCGGUUUGGCCCCGGUGCGAACGUGUAUAAAAUAUAUCUCUAUCUAUCGAAAAUCAUUAUAAAUUAACAAUAAAAAUAUAAACAAGUGCAAACGUGUGAGAAAAAUAAAAGUUGAAAAAUGCAAACGUGUAGAAGAAGAAAAGCCGGAGGAGAUACGGCCACGAUCUCGUGGCGACGACUGUGUUUGGCCAGUCUCUUGGGAUUAUUGCUGCUUGGCAUUCAAAUUGAGCAUGCGGCGUCUGCGCCUGCAGGCGAGGAAGAUGCAGCAACGACCAUGCCACCACCACUACCACCUAUGGAUGCCACAACAACAGAAUCUACAACAGUCUCCUCUACCGCAGCAGAAACAACAAUUGGCGUAGAACAAAGCAGCAUCGGCAGCACCAGCACCAGCACCAGCAGUACCACUGAGGAAGCGGAUAGUUCAACGACUUCAAGCACUACAGAAACGUCCAACAAAUUGAAUGCGGCCGAAGCUGAUGUGACCACAACAUCGCUUCCACCUAGCAACAGCAGCAGCUCCCUGCCCACAGCUGCCGGAGACACAAUGAGUAGUUCUUCUGUGAGUUCUACCAGCAUUGAACCCAUCACCUCGACAGAGCCCACAACAACGCCGCGACAGGAGAGUGAUGGACCCGAACAGCACUUGAUCUUCUCGCACACGGAGGCGGAUCAGACCCACAUCCAGCACAUACCCCUGAGGGAUGAUCACGCGGAGAAUAGUGGAGCUGAUGCCACCACCGAGGCACUGAAGGAUCCACGAGAAGAUCAGCUGCUCAAUCAAAUAUCCAAUGAGAACGAUGAUGUGGUCAAGGAUCUGAAUAAUUUCCGACAUCCGGCGACGCUGAUCACGGCGAGCAACAGCAACAGCAACAGCGAGGAGAACAGUGACUCCUCAGUGAAUCGCAAUGAAAAUGAAAGUGAAAAGACAGAGGAAACAACAACAACCAGUACAACAACAACGACAACGACAACGACAGAGGCAACACAGCAGAUCGAGCGCGAAGAGGAUCCCUAUCAUGUGCAUAUACUGUCCGAGAAUCAUGAUCGCCUGGCCGAACACGAAGAUUAUCAAAUGCUAUCGACCAGCACCGAGGAGUCCUCGUCGUCGUCAGAACCAGCUAUAACAACUACAACCACAGAGAGCGGCUCUGAUGCAGGUAUUAUUGUCAGUCUGGAGAACAAGGCGACUGCCGAGCCAUCCACAUCCACAUCCACAUCCACUGAGGGUACGACGACUACAACUACAACCACAUCUCGAGCACGCGCCAUGCAUAUGAAUGAGGAGCCAGAAAUCGAAGCGGCGGCUGCCACCACAAUCAUGCCACCAGACAAUGAAUCGUCGUCGGGUCCAGUGAUUAACAUUGUUGAAGGACAACACAUGAAACAGGAGGAGGAGUCGCAGUCGGAGUCGGAGAGCAGCAGUAGCAGUACAGCCACCAGCACAACGCCAGUCACAACCACCACAGAGGAGCCAUCGCCAUUUGUGGCCUUUGCCGGCGAGGGACGGUCAGCGGGUGGUGCCGGCGAUGAUGAUGUGGAGGAGCUCUUCCUGCAUCGCAAUGCCACAACACAUGAGCAGCUCAUGGAUCUGAGUGAUGUCAGCAUGGAUGAGGAUCCCAAGGAGAGUAGCAGUAGCUCCAGUACCAGUACCAGUACUAGUACUUCUUCCACAACCACAACAUCAACAUCGACGACCACUGUUCAACCGGAAACGGAAAUGCCCAAAAUAGUAGAAAUCACCGCCAGCGGGGAUACGAUGCAACGUGAAUGUUUGGCCAACAGCAAGAGCUACAAGCAUGGCGAUACCAUGGAGAGGGAAUGCGAUGAGCGCUGCACUUGCAACCGCGGCGACUGGAUGUGUGAGCCACGUUGCAAGGGCUUGAGCUAUCCCCGUGGCAGCCAGCGCAGCAUGGCCAAUCCCAACUGCAGAGAGCGUGUGGUGGAGGAGGAUGAGUGCUGUCGGAUGAUGGAAUGCAAUGAACCUUUGCUAGAGCCCACUGUGGCCAUAUCCGAGCAGGGAGCAGCACCAGCAACGGCAGCAGCAGCAGUGGAAGAGGAAGCCACUACCAUUUCCAGCACCCAUGAUGAAGCCACGCCCAAGCCGAAGAAUGAUUGCCAUUACAUGGGCGGCGUCUAUAAGUUCCGCGAACGCCUGGAGAUCGCCUGCGAUCAGAUCUGCCACUGUGCCGAGGGUGGAGUGAUGGACUGCCGUCCACGGUGUCCGGAGAGGAAUCACACGCGGGCCGACAAGUGUGUGUAUGUAAAGGAUCCCAAGGAUGUGUGCUGCCAGCUGGAGCUGUGCGAUGUCACCCUGGAUGAUCACGAGCAGCCGCAGUCCCCGCCCCAGAACAGUGUGAACGAGGAUUCGGAGGAGGAGCACCACCAACAGGAACAUCUCUAUGGGUUGCAGGAACAGGCCAGAGAUGCGGGAGGAGCCACGUCUGGCUGCACCUUCAAGGGCUCCCAGUACGAGGUGGGACAGCAGUUCCGCGAUGGCUGCGAACAGUUGUGCAUCUGCAAUGAGCAGGGGAUCCACUGCGCCAAGGUGGAGUGCCCCUCGAACUUCGGAUUGGACGUGCAGGAUCCGCACUGCAUCCGCUGGGAGCCGGUGCCCGCAGACUUCAAGCCUAUUCCCCCGAACUGCUGUCCGGAGAGCAUGCGAUGUGUGGACAAUGGCACCUGCACCUAUAAGGGCUUGCAGUUCGAUAACUGGGCUCCGAUUCCAGCGAAUCUUUCAGGUUGUGAUCAGCAUUGUUAUUGCGAGAAUGGGCGUGUGGAGUGCCGUCCGGCGUGUCCGCCAGUGCUGGCAUUGCCGCCCGCGGACCUGCCCUGCCAUCCGGCCCAGGCACGUCUCCUUCCGAUACCCGAUGACGAGUGCUGCAAGCAAUGGAGCUGUGCACCGCUGGUGCCGAAGAUCGGGGCUGCCGGGCAGGAGGAAUCCCCCGAAGAAUCGUCCACGCAAUCCACUCCGAUUUCCAAUGAAACUACAACGACAGCGACGACCACGACAAGUACAACAACCACUGGCAAAAUGCCGCCCCAGAAGAAGCCCUCAUCUCCAGGUGCCUUCUAUCCCACAUUGGACGGCAAGCCACCAAAGUCCUCUGGUGGAGGCCUGGGCAUCUUUGAGAAGACAGAGAAAAACCAUGAGAAGGGCCAUGAAAAAGGGCACAAGAAGGUGCAACAUCAGCACCAGCAGCAGCAGCAACAGGAGCAGGAGCAGGAGCAACAGCAGCAUCAGCAACAGCAGCACCAGAAUGAUGUCAUCUUCGAUGAUCGUGAGGGACAGUUGCAGCAGAAUGGCGGCUUUGUGCCCUUCCAAUUCGGUCACCAGCAUCCGCACCAGCAGCACCUAGGACCCUUUGGAUUCUACAAUCCUGUGAAGCCUGUCUAUGAGGACUACAAUCCCUAUGAGCCGUACGACAUUAAUCCCAACGGAACGCCCCAAGGCAAGGCACCACCAGUGCCGACUAGUCAAUCGGAUCUGUUUAAUAUACUGGGAGCAGAACAGCCAGGACAUCAGGGGCAUCCCAAUCAUAAUGGACAUCCCGCACAGACCCAAAAGGAUAAUCACAAUCUGCCCUCCCAAGUUAGAAUCGAACAGAUUCUGCAGCAUUUGCAGCAGACCGUGCCAGGCGGACCACCGUCCCAACAGCAGCAGCAGAAUCUCCAACAGCAGCAGCAGCAGCAGAAUCCCGGACAUUAUGUGCCCAUUGUGCACAGUGGAUUGCCGCCACCGCCGCCAGCACAUGGCAUUGCCAUUGUCGAUGGCCAGCCCGUGGCAUAUGAGAGCUAUCCGGUGAUACCAGGCCUGGGAGUGCCGCCACCACCAAUCCAUCAGCAGCAGCAGCAACAGCAGCAACAGCAGCAACAGAAGCAACAGCCACUGCAACAGCAGGCCACAAUCCUGCCCAGCUCCAGCACUACUUCAGGAUUGUCCACCCAAGCCAGUGAGCAUAGUCUGCACCAGAAUCAGGAGACGCUAACGAAGCAGCAGCAGCAGCAAUCCAAUCCAGGCAAUAGCAAACUGCAACCAGACAUCGAAGUUCAUACUCUGGAGGCUCUGGAUGCACGAACCAUUCACAUUGUCUUCACUGUACCCGAGGUCUAUGUGAAUCUCCAUGGACGCAUCGAACUGCGCUACACGAAUGGACCUAGCAAUGAUACCUCGACCUGGGAGCAACAGAUCUUUGCACCGCCAGAGGAUCUUCUGGCCACCUCGCAGAUGGAGUUCGACUUGAACUAUCUAGAGCCCAAUUCCCUGUACAAAGUAAAGAUCACACUUAUCCUCAGGGAUCUCAACUCCCAACCGUCGAGCACUGUGCAUGUGGUAAAGCUACCAGCAGAGAGGACCAUCACACCACCUCCGCCGUUCACCGACUACAGGCCGGACUUCCAGGACAUCUUCAAGACCGUGGAGGAUGCAGAGUUGAAUGUCAGCGAAACGAAUGCCACAUGGCUGCAGUUGACAUGGAAGAAGCUCGGCGACGAGCAGAUGGAGUAUGUGGAUGGAGUGCAGCUGCGCUACAAGGAGCUCACGGGCAUGAUCUACUCCUCAUCGCCACUGAUACACCGCACCCUCACCAGCUACACCAUCCAGAACUUGCAGCCGGAUACGGGCUACGAGAUCGGUCUCUACUACAUUCCUCUGCCCGGCCAUGGGGCAGAGCUGCGUGCCGGACACAUGAUCAAGGUGCGCACAGCGCCCAAGAUCGAUGUGUAUGGCUUCGAUGUGACUGUGAAUGUCACCAAGGUGAAGACCCAGAGCGUGGAGAUCUCCUGGAAUGGUGUGCCCUAUCCGGAGGAUAAAUUCGUGCACAUCUAUCGCGCCAUCUAUCAGAGCGAUGCUGGGAAGGAGGACUCGAGCGUGUUCAAGGUGGCCAAGCGGGACAGCACCACAGGCACUCUCAUUAUGGACCUCAAGUCGGGCACCAAGUACCGCCUUUGGCUGGAGAUGUAUCUGACGAAUGGCAAUACCAAGAAGAGCAAUGUGGUUAACUUUAUCACGAAGCCAGGAGGACCGGCCACGCCAGGAAAAACAGGAAAACUCCUCACAGCAGGCACAGAUCAACCUGUGGGUGACUAUUACGGUCCCCUGGUUGUGGUCUCUGUGAUCGCCGCCUUGGCCAUUAUGUCCACGCUGGCCCUGCUCCUCAUCAUCACCCGGAGGCGAGUCCAUCAAACGGCGUCCAUUACACCUCCACGCAAGAGCGAUGCGGCCUAUGACAAUCCCUCAUACAAAGUGGAGAUCCAACAGGAGACUAUGAUACUUAAAUCCCCUCCUUCCAGAUCUGUAACUCACGAAUCUGCCAAAAACACUUAGUUCUAAAACAGAUUCUUGUAAAUAUUUAAAGAAAAAACGAAAGGAAGGAUGGAAAAACUAAGGAAAAGUAAUGGAAAAACUCAAACUCAGUGUCAGUAAAAAUUAUGUAAUCAAAAAAAAAACGAUGGAAAGAAAAUAAUUUUCUUAAGCCGGCGCAAGAUCAGUAAAAAAUUGUCCCAAAUGUGGAAUUCGGCCGCCAUGUUAGAGAGAGUGAGACAAGCAAGGAGGAUACCCUAUGGAAGAACUAAUUGAUCAAAAACUCCACAACAAAAAACCCCGGGCACAUUGAUUCUUCUAGCGAUUUCAAGAUGCAUACGAGUUUAGUUAGUUUAACUUGUAAAUUUUAGCUUUACACCUAUCGUAAUUUAAAGGCGCCUCAUCAUCCGUGGAGCAAAAAUCAAAUCAACAACUAAAGGAAGACAGCCACAAAACCGAUGAUGCGUUUUUCAAUUAACAGUCCAUAAAUAUUUAAAAGUAGCUCGUAAAAACACGUAAAGAGAUAUGCAUAUACUCGUAUGUAUGUAUGAAUAAAUAAAGAAAAAAUUAUAAAAACUAUUAAAA